UCGCUCUUGUUUCUCUUCAUAUCGUAUAAAUCUUUCGCCUUUUACUAAAGAUUUCCGUGGAGAGGGAACAACAAGAGUUUAUUCCAAUUUUUGAUGCCCUGCAUCUGUGUGGGGU
ensembl:snRNA U5 U5 spliceosomal RNA